GACGAACCGUGCGAACGUUGUUCGGAUUCACUGGGCUUAAAGGGCGCGUAGGCGGGCCGGCCCGUCCGGGGUGAAAUCUUUCGGCUUAACCGGAAAAGCGCCUCGGAGACCGCCGGCCUGGAGUGAGGUAGGGGCAGGUGGAACUUCCGGUGGAGCGGUGAAAUGCGUUGAUAUCGGAAGGAACGCCGGUGGCGAAAGCGGCCUGCUGGACCUCGUCUGACGCUGAGGCGCGAAAGCCAGGGGAGCGAAC
rnacentral:rRNA from 1 species